GACGAACGCUGGCGGCGUGCUUAACACAUGCAAGUCGAACGGAAAGGCCCUGCUUUUGUGGGGUGCUCGAGUGGCGAACGGGUGAGUAACACGUGAGUAACCUGCCCUUUACUUUGGGAUAACUUCAGGAAACUGUGGCUAAUACCGGAUAGGAGCUCCUGCUGCAUGGUGGGGGUUGGAAAGUUUCGGCGGUUGGGGAUGGACGCGCGGCUUAUCAGCUUGUUGGUGGGGUAGUGGCUUACCAAGGCUUUGACGGGUAGCCGGCCUGAGAGGGUGACCGGCCACAUUGGGACUGAGAUAGGGCCCAGAGUCAUACGGGAGGAAGCAGUGGGGAAUAUUGCACAAUGGGCGGAAGCCUGAUGCAGCAACGCCGCGUGCGGGAUGACGGCCUUCGGGUUGUAAACCGCUUUCGCCUGUGACGAAGCGUGAGUGACGGUAAUGGGUAAAGAAGCACCGGCUAACUACGUG
rnacentral:rRNA from 1 species